GAGUCGGUAGCUCAGAUGGUAGAGCAACGGCCUUUUAAGCCGUGGGUCGAGGGUUCGAUCCCCUCCCGACUCA
rfam:Aliifodinibius roseus strain DSM 21986 genome assembly, contig: Ga0134108_103